UAAACUUUGGUCAGUGCACGUGAAGAAAUAGUCUCAGAAAAUACUAUCAAUAUUUGCGUCUUUGUUUUAUGUGUUUCGUCAAGAACAAUAAAAGUACAACAAAUGUGACAACGAAUAUUUAUCGUUUCAAGGGAGCAACGAUUUAGAAAUUUGUCAUGAAUGCAUACAGGAUAUUGAAGAGUAAAAUAACAUCGACAGACGUACAGACGGACAAUGGAGUGAUCGUAUAAGGGUUCCGUUUUUUCCUUUUGAGGAAAUUAUAGAUGCUGCCUGGUUCUAUAUUUUUCCCAUUACAGUUCUUCAAUUUCUUAUGCGCACAAGUACAUGGAGUUGCUCCUAGACUAAUAAAAUACUCAGAACGAUUUCUUUGUAAGAAAGGAUCGAGAGUAUUUCACAGAGGAUUAGAUCCGUUUGUUUUUCUCAGUUCACUUAAUUUUCAACAGCACAGCAACGAGUCUACUGAAGUGGGAAUUGUUUCUCCUAAAUCAACCGCGGCAGUAAUUAUUGCGAAUAAUGACACUCCAAACGCUACCAUGUCGCAGAGGAAGCCUCCGAAGUUUCUGACCAUAAAUUAAUGCACAUAACAUACAUUUAAUUAAUUUCUGUAAUUAUUUUUAUAUUAUGUAUAAUUUUAAGAACUACCAAAUUCAGAUGUGGAUUACUUUUAGCCGCUAGAAUUUUUGCUUUGCAGUGGACAUUGUCUUUUAUGGUUGUACGGGAUGAUUAAGGAAAGGAAAGAUACUGUCUUUGUAUAUAUUAUUGUACUUUAUUAUUCUUUCCUACUUUUAUACAAUUGGAACCAAAAAGAUAAACAUAACAAUUAACAAUCUUAUUGUUUUUUUAAAAAUGUGUUAGCAUUUUUUUAAUGUGUUUUAUUGUACACUUCUGUGUGAGUUGUAAUGCUGAAUAAGUUUACGUUUUUUUAUAUACAUAUUAGGGCCUUAUUAUUUUAAAUCUAAUUCGCAUCAAUUUACAAGUUUAACCAAUAAAUUACUUUCAAGUUUACAAGAAUUAUAAGUUGAUCUUAUUUAGAUUGUUUGUAGACUAAACUUAAAUAAGUCUUAUCUUAAUUACGAAAUCAAGUGAAGAAUGUUCAAAAUUACUUGUAUAUGUUGAUUUAAGAAGCACGAUAUUCGAUUAUACAGAUUAUACAACAGGGUUCGUACAGAAUAAUUGGAAUUUUGCGUCAGUCAAUAAAAACUUCGAAGCAGUCGCUCGGGAGCAAUUAAAUAAAACAAGUUUACGAAAUCAAUUAGUUGCAAUAUUGGGUUUUACACAAGUUGUUAUUGAGUUUCACAACUUCUAAUGUAGUUCUUACUAAUGUUUUGUUAACGUUUAAUGAAUAUAGGCAUUUUGU